rnacentral:rRNA from 1 species
CUAGCGGCGGACGGGUGAGUAAUGCUUAGGAAUCUGCCUAUUAGUGGGGGACAACAUCUCGAAAGGGAUGCUAAUACCGCAUACGUCCUACGGGAGAAAGCAGGGGUUAUUCUUCGGACCCUUGCGCUUAUAUAGAUGAGCCUAAGUCGGAUUAGCUAGUUGGUGGGGUAAAGGCCUACCAAGGCGACGAUCUGUAGCCGGUUCUGAGAGGAUGAUCCGCCACACUGGAACUGAGACACGGCCCAGACUCCUACGGGAGGCAGCAGUGGGGAAUAUUGGACAAUGGGCGCAAGCCUGAUCCAGCCAUGCCGCGUGUGUGAAGAAGGCCUUAUGGUUGUAAAGCACUUUAAGCGAGGAGGAGGCUACUCUAGUUAAUACCUAGGGAUAGUGGACGUUACUCGCAGAAUAAGCACCGGCUAACUCUGUGCCAGCAGCCGCGGUAAUACAGAGGGUGCAAGCGUUAAUCGGAUUUACUGGGCGUAAAGCGCGCGUAGGCGGCUAAUUAAGUCAAAUGUGAAAUCCCCGAGCUUAACUUGGGAAUUGCAUUCGAUACUGGUUAGCUAGAGUGUGGGAGAGGAUGGUAGAAUUCCAGGUGUAGCGGUGAAAUGCGUAGAGAUCUGGAGGAAUACCGAUGGCGAAGGCAGCCAUCUGGCCUAACACUGACGCUGAGGUGCGAAAGCAUGGGGAGCAAACAGGAUUAGAUACCCUGGUAGUCCAUGCCGUAAACGAUGUCUACUAGCCGUUGGGGCCUUUGAGGCUUUAGUGGCGCAGCUAACGCGAUAAGUAGACCGCCUGGGGAGUACGGUCGCAAGACUAAAACUCAAAUGAAUUGACGGGGGCCCGCACAAGCGGUGGAGCAUGUGGUUUAAUUCGAUGCAACGCGAAGAACCUUACCUGGCCUUGACAUAGUAAGAACUUUCCAGAGAUGGAUUGGUGCCUUCGGGAACUUACAUACAGGUGCUGCAUGGCUGUCGUCAGCUCGUGUCGUGAGAUGUGGGGUUAAGUCCCGCAACGAGCGCAACCCUUUUCCUUAUUUGCCAGCGAGUAAUGUCGGGAACUUUAAGGAUACUGCCAGUGACAAACUGGAGGAAGGCGGGGACGACGUCAAGUCAUCAUGGCCCUUACGGCCAGGGCUACACACGUGCUACAAUGGUCGGUACAAAGGGUUGCUUACACACGCGAUGUUGAUGCUAAUCUCAAAAAGCCGCAUUCGUAAUCCGGAUUGGAGUCUGCAACUGCGACUCCAUGAAGUCGGAAUCGCAUAGUAAU